CGAACGAGCGAGAGAGAGCUUGCUUUCUCGAGCGAGUGGCGAACGGGUGAGUAACGCGUGAGGAACCUGCCUCAAAGAGGGGGACAGCAGUUGGAAACGACUGCUAAUACCGCAUAAGCCCACGGUGCCGCAUGGCACAGAGGGAAAAGGAGCAAUCCGCUUUGAGAUGGCCUCGCGUCCGAUUAGCUAGUUGGUGAGGUAACGGCCCACCAAGGCGACGAUCGGUAGCCGGACUGAGAGGUUGAACGGCCACAUUGGGACUGAGACACGGCCCAGACUCCUACGGGAGGCAGCAGUGGGGAAUAUUGCACAAUGGGGGAAACCCUGAUGCAGCGACGCCGCGUGGAGGAAGAAGGUCUUCGGAUUGUAAACUCCUGUUGUUGGGGAAGAUAAUGACGGUACCCAACAAGGAAGUGACGGCUAACUACGUGCCAGCAGCCGCGGUAAAACGUAGGUCACAAGCGUUGUCCGGAAUUACUGGGUGUAAAGGGAGCGCAGGCGGGAAGACAAGUUGGAAGUGAAAUCUAUGGGCUCAACCCAUAAACUGCUUUCAAAACUGUUUUUCUUGAGUAGUGCAGAGGUAGGCGGAAUUCCCGGUGUAGCGGUGGAAUGCGUAGAUAUCGGGAGGAACACCAGUGGCGAAGGCGGC
rnacentral:rRNA from 1 species